CCUACGGGAGGCAGCAGUGGGGAAUUUUGGACAAUGGGCGCAAGCCUGAUCCAGCAAUGCCGCGUGCAGGAUGAAGGCCUUCGGGUUGUAAACUGCUUUUGUACGGAACGAAAAAGUCUGCCCUAAUACGGUGGGCCCAUGACGGUACCGUAAGAAUAAGCACCGGCUAACUACGUGCCAGCAGCCGCGGUAAUACGUAGGGUGCGAGCGUUAAUCGGAAUUACUGGGCGUAAAGCGUGCGCAGGCGGUUAUAUAAGACAGAUGUGAAAUCCCCGGGCUCAACCUGGGACCUGCAUUUGUGACUGUAUAGCUAGAGUACGGUAGAGGGGGAUGGAAUUCCGCGUGUAGCAGUGAAAUGCGUAGAUAUGCGGAGGAACACCGAUGGCGAAGGCAAUCCCCUGGACCUGUACUGACGCUCAUGCACGAAAGCGUGGGGAGCAAACAGGAUUAGAUACCCUGGUAGUCCACGCCCUAAACGAUGUCAACUGGUUGUUGGGUCUUCACUGACUCAGUAACGAAGCUAACGCGUGAAGUUGACCGCCUGGGGAGUACGGCCGCAAGGUUGAAACUCAAAGGAUUGAGG
rnacentral:rRNA from 1 species